UACGUAGGGUGCAAGCGUUGUCCGGAAUUAUUGGGCGUAAAGAGCUCGUAGGCGGUUUGUCGCGUCUGCUGUGAAAACUCGGGGCUUAACUCCGGGCCUGCAGUGGGUACGGGCAGACUAGAGUGCGGUAGGGGAGACUGGAAUUCCUGGUGUAGCGGUGAAAUGCGCAGAUAUCAGGAGGAACACCGGUGGCGAAAGCGGCGGACUGGACCUCUUCUGACGCUGAGGCGCGAAAGCUAGGGGAGCAAACGGG
rnacentral:rRNA from 1 species